AGGAGGUAUCCUCAGAAGUUCUUGCAAUCAGCAUUGCCUUUUAAACAUCAGAUGACUGCUGCCUUUGCUGUGACCUCUACGUAAUAUGGAUUACAGGGUAAUUUAUGGAUGUACUGAAAAUUAACCUCCUAGUACUAUUCAGGGGAAGGGUGUGAAGACACUGGUGCAGAAAUGAAGCAUUUCAACCGCAAUACAGUAAUUAUCCAGAGGAAAGACGCUGUUCCUAUCACACGUUCAUCUCCCACGCGGAAGUGCACACACCACGAAGAAAUAAGGAUCUGAAAGAUAAGAUACAAGGAGAUGCUGCAUGAGAAGACAAGAGAAACAGGAAAAAAACAAUGAGCUCAACCAUGGAAUAAGGUGGCACUGAAAAUGACACACAUAACUGAAAAUAAGAGUUUCUUCCUGUCAGUGGGAUGAUUCCAGCUUCAGAGACAAAUGCUCCCGACCCUCAGCAGACGCUGGAGCCCUACUCUGCUUCAUGUGGAAAACCUUUCAGAGACAGG